AAGUCGUAACAAGGUUUCCGUAGGUGAACCUGCGGAAGGAUCAUUACCUUUCAAUGCAGCAGGAUUGGGGUGGUUGAGUAUCUCGCCUCCUAAUUCUGCCUGUAUUCUACCCUUGUUUUUCUCAUACUAUUAUUUCCUCGGCAGGCUUGCUUGCCGGGUGAAACCAUUUAUAACCUAUUUAAUUUUCAAUCAGCGUCUGAACAAAAUUAAUAAUUACAACUUUCAACAACGGAUCUCUUGGUUCUG
rnacentral:misc_RNA from 1 species